ACUGCUCCUAGAGGCAUUGCAGGCAUGGCUGCUGUGUCACAUGUGUGCCAGUAGGUGGCAGAGAAGAGAGAGGCUAUGCCUAUGCUCAAUGUUCUGACCUAUGAACAUCUGAAUAAUCAGAAGCUUUCCCUG